UAGCAACGUGAGUCUGAUUGACGUGGUACCGAGUGUUGAGACAAUGAGAGGACUACAUGAACACUCGAGAGAAUGAGAGAACUCCAGAGCGUCAUCAAUUCGAAACCCUAGCUGCUGUUUCUUUCGCAGGUGAAAUUUCACGAAAUUUCAAACAAAAUCUCAAACAUAGCAUGGAUUCGAACUCCAGUGACAGACGUUCAGUGUUUAAGGUUUAUUCAUCCCCUUGUAUAUGGUUAGUAUCCUAGAACAAUGCAAGAAAUUGUUGGAGAUAGACUGCCCAAUUCACAGAAGAAGAGGUGUCAACCAACAUACUUAUAUAGAGAAUCCAAAGAAUCAAACCAAACCAAAAGAGCUGGGCUACCGACAGGACUGGAAUACUGGAUUUGUUUGCAAGAAAUUGUCCUACUCUGUUUUCUUGCUUGGGCUUUGCAGAGUAGCGGAAAGCAGAUUGGUAGGUAAUUUUAGUCACAUCAUACAUUGAUCUCUAUGUCCAAGUUCACAUCAAGUUUCUACAAGAGAUUUUAUUGAUUUUAUUUUUCAAUUAAUUACUCAUAGUUUUAGCUUUUUAAUUGAAUAUCUGCAGGCAAAUUCUUAUUGACUUUACAAUGUACCUUGGGGUCUGUACAAAGCAGUGAAGUACAUCAAAGAAAACUAUGAAAAUCCCACCAUUAUUUUGGCUGAAAACAUUAUAUAUUAUUAACCUUUUUCACAUUAAAAAUCAUGUGCUGGUAUGCUGUCCAUUGUCUUGGUGUUUUUAGAAUUUUGCACUAGUAGUCUUUAGAUCUGCUAGUCCAAACCAUGAAAAGAGAAACAUCCUGACUCACGGUUUGGCUUUCAAGAUGAGAGUGCUCUAUUUUGCCGUUCAGCAGGUACGAGUCCUAUUCGAUUUCAAUCAAUUUGAUCUAUAUUAUUACACAAAGUCAAUGAAACUUUUUUUUCGUCAUUCUACAGGUCAUUCAACUUAAAGAGCUUAGUCUUCGUUUCUUCCUAUUUCUAUAGCAGAUUAUUAUCAUUGUUAUUUUUAACAUUUAAGUCCAUAAAAUUGAUUUGUUUGGAUACAAAAAAUAUUUCAGUGGAAACAAAAAUUCAAUCUGGGUGUUGUACUGGUGAUAGUUCUUUAGUUUUCAAUUAUAUUAAAUUACCAUCUUAGAAAAAACUGAUUAAUUGUUGAUGUGGGAUCCAGGGGAGGCAAAGGAGGACCAUGCUAAAGUAACUACUUACUGUUAGCUAUAACAGGUGAAAAUAAUUGUUGUCUGAUCCAAUAUUAUAAAAUUGGCAUAAAUAUUCUUUCUUUGCAUAUCAUUAAUAAAAGAAUCAUAGUACUUAUCAAAAUAAAUAAAUAAUAAAAGAAUCAUAUCAUUAACUCAAGUUUCAUCCAAAUUCUCUCUACUAGAGUACCUGUAAGUUAAUGGACAAGAGUGUAUACUUGGUGUUUACCCCCACUUUGCUUGUUCUGUUUUGCAUGAUAGUUUUUAGAAUUUUGAAAAAAUAUUCAAUUGAUUGGACUGAUACCUUCAACCCUUUCUCAGAUUCCAAACUUUUUGUUGUGCAGGAGUUUGUGGAAUGUGCUGUAAGCAAGUGAUUGACAUCAAUUAUUACAAACAAAAUAAUGUAUGAUGGAAACAAGAUGUUGGUAUUGUGGUCCCUGUUGCUCCUCUGGGGUAUCAGCAGUAAGGUCCACAGUAUAUCUUGCUGUUGAUUCUUGUAUCCCCUAUUUUUUUCUAUCUGCUAGUGGUCUAAACCUUCGGUCUUCAUAUUGCCCUUUGUUUUUUACGGCAAUGAGUGCUGUCUGGCAAUUAAGGAAGAUGAGAAGAGACUUCGCUCCAUGGCAUGAUGGCAUCAGUUUGUCAAGUACAAUUCAAUUUCUAUGUAUUCAAUUUCACAAUGGCAAAUGGUGACAGAUUCAGGCCGGUAACCGGUAUGCUCAGAACCCAGUCGUCCAAUAGCCGGCCAAAUGAGAUCUCCACCUAUGUUGAUACUGUUACCGUAAGCAUAGAACGAGGAAAAUGGAACUAUUGGAAUGGCAGCCCAGAAGUGUUGGUUUGAAUCCAACUCGUGACAGCCGUCAGGUGCUGGAGAUUUGUAAGGCCCCCCCCAUAAAGCUUAUCUGAUCUCAUCUUCAGGAGACUCUUUGUGGGAAGAUCUUGAUUCAUUUCUUCUGUCAUUUUUUGAGGAAUAUUCAUUCAACACUUUGGGCCAAGUCAGGCUUUUGUGACUAAAUCUUUCUUUUUUUUUUUCUUUUUUUUUUUUUUUUAAUAAAAUUAGUCUCUCAGGUGAGAACACACCAAAACUAGUAGGAACUGAAAGACAAAUUCUAGGUAUGCAGCUUUUGUUUUGGUGUAUGCAUUUACCACCAUAGACAUUGCUUUAUGUAGCUUCUCUUUCAUUAACAAUUGUAAAUGAGUCGAAUAAUUUGAGCUAGUUGAUGACUGGAUAGGCAAAUAUGGAUUUGGCUUAUAUGAAGAAUAUUAUGCAUUUGAUUUACUUUUCA